CCUACGGGGGGCAGCAGUGAGGAAUAUUGGUCAAUGGGCGCGAGACUGAACCAGCCAAGUAGCGUGAAGGAUGACUGCCCUACGGGUUGUAAACUUCUUUUAUAAAGGAAUAAAGUGAGGCACGUGUGCCUUUUUGUAUGUACUUUAUGAAUAAGGAUCGGCUAACUCCGUGCCAGCAGCCGCGGUAAUACGGAGGAUCCGAGCGUUAUCCGGAUUUAUUGGGUUUAAAGGGAGCGUAGAUGGGUUGUUAAGUCAGUUGUGAAAGUUUGCGGCUCAACCGUAAAAUUGCAAUUGAUACUGGCAGUCUUGAGUACAGUUGAGGUAGGCGGAAUUCGUGGUGUAGCGGUGAAAUGCUUAGAUAUCACGAAGAACUCCGAUUGCGAAGGCAGCUUACUAAACUGCCACUGACAUUGAUGCUCGAAAGUGUGGGUAUCAAACAGGAUUAGAUACCCUGGUAGUC
rnacentral:rRNA from 1 species